rnacentral:rRNA from 1 species
CAAUACGUCAGCGGCAGACGGGUGAGUAACGCGUGGGAACAUACCUUUUGGUUCGGAACAACACAGGGAAACUUGUGCUAAUACCGGAUAAGCCCUUACGGGGAAAGAUUUAUCGCCGAAAGAUUGGCCCGCGUCUGAUUAGCUAGUUGGUGAGGUAACGGCUCACCAAGGCGACGAUCAGUAGCUGGUCUGAGAGGAUGAUCAGCCACAUUGGGACUGAGACACGGCCCAA